GUGCUUGCUUCGGUAGCACAUAGUCUAAAACCAGAAGAAUACCAAGAUUAGCAUGGUCCCUGCACAAGGACAACAUGCGGACCGUGGGGUGCUCCAUGUUUUG
ensembl:snRNA U6 U6 spliceosomal RNA